rnacentral:rRNA from 1 species
GACGAACGCUGGCGGCGUGCUUACACAUGCAAGUCGAGCGAGAAACCAUUGAUUGAUUCUUCGGAAGAUUCGAUGGCGGAAAGCGGCGGACGGGUGAGUAACGCGUGGGCAACCUACCUUGUACAGGGGGAUAACAUCGGGAAACCGGUGCUAAUACCGCAUAACACAUCAACAUGGCCUCAUGAAGAUGUCAAAGGAGGAAUCCGGUAUAAGAUGGGCCCGCGUCCAAUUAGCUAGUUGGUGAGGUAACGGCUCACCAAGGCGACGAUUGGUAGCCGAACUGAGAGGUUGAUCGGCCACAUUGGGACUGAGACACGGCCCAGACUCCUACGGGAGGCAGCAGUGGGGAAUAUUGCACAAUGGGGGAAACCCUGAUGCAGCAACGCCGCGUGAAGGAUGAAGGUCUUCGGAUCGUAAACUUCUUUGAUUGGGGAAGAAGAAGUGACGGUACCCAAAAAACAAGCCACGGCUAACUACGUGCCAGCAGCCGCGGUAAUACGUAGGUGGCAAGCGUUGUCCGGAAUUACUGGGUGUAAAGGGCGUGUAGGCGGGGGUGCAAGUCAGAUGUGAAAGCCCGUGGCUCAACUGCGGGACUGCAUCUGAAACUGUAUCUCUUGAGUACUGGAGAGGGAAGUGGAAUUCCUAGUGUAGCGGUGAAAUGCGUAGAGAUUAGGAGGAACACCAGUGGCGAAGGCGGCUU